rnacentral:rRNA from 1 species
CUCAACCGGGGGAUGGCACUUGAAACUGCGUAGCUGGAGUUCUGGAGAGGGUGGCGGAAUUCCCGGUGUAGGAGUGAAAUCCGUAGAGAUCGGGAAGAACACCAGAGGCGAAGGCGGCCACCUGGCCAGAAACUGACGCUGAGGCGCGAAAGCGUGGGUAGCAAACAGGAUUAGAUACCCUGGUAGUCCACGCUGUAAACACUGGAUGCUAGAUGCGGGUGGCGUAGAAGUCAUUCGUGUCGCAGCUAACGCGUUAAGCAUCCCGCCUGGGGAGUACGGCCGCAAGGCUGAAACUCAAAGGAAUUGACGGGGGCCCGCACAAGCGGUGGAGCAUGUGGCUCAAUUCGAUGCAACGCGAAGAACCUUACCUAGGCUCGAACGCUAGGCGCCCGCUCCUGAAAGGGAGCUUUCCGCAAGGACGC